rnacentral:rRNA from 1 species
UACGUAGGGGGCGAGCGUUGUCCGGAGUUACUGGGCGUAAAGGGCAUGCAGGCGGUCGGACGCGUUUCGGGUGACAGCGGGUGGCUUAACUACCCGAGUGGUCGAAAGACGGUUUGACUUGAGGACGCGAGAGGGACACGGAAUUCCGGGUGGAGUGGUGAAAUGCGUAGAGAUCCGGAGGAACACCGAAGGCGAAGGCAGUGUCCUGGCGCGUAACUGACGCUGAGGUGCGAAAGCCAGGGGAG